UCCGUAGGGGGCAAGCGUUGUCCGGAUUUAUUGGGCGUAAAGAGCGUGUAGGCGGCCAAGCAGGUCCGCUGUGAAAACUCGAGGCUCAACCUCGAGACGCCGAUGGAAACCGCAUGGCUAGAGUCCGGAAGAGGAGAGUGGAAUUCCUGGUGUAGCGGUGAAAUGCGCAGAUAUCAGGAAGAACACCCGUGGCUAAGGCGGCUCUCUAGUACGGUACUGACGCUGAGACGCGAAAGCGUGGGGAGCGAACAGG
rnacentral:rRNA from 1 species